CGGACGGGUGAGUAACGCGUAGGUAACCUGCCCCAUACAGAGGGAUAGCCACUGGAAACGGUGAUUAAUACCUCAUAAAACUGAGUAUACACAUGUAUGUUCAGCCAAAGAUUUAUCGGUAUGGGAUGGACCUGCGUCUGAUUAGCUGGUUGGUGAGGUAACGGCUCACCAAGGCGACGAUCAGUAGCCGACCUGAGAGGGUGAUCGGCCACAUUGGAACUGAGACACGGUCCAAACUCCUACGGGAGGCAGCAG
rnacentral:rRNA from 1 species